AGUCGCGUGUUCUAAUGGUUAUGAUUUCUCGUUCACAUUAUGUGUACAUCUAUUGUUCCGAGAAGGUUCCGUGUUCGAUCCACGGCGUGACUA